rnacentral:lncRNA from 1 species
GCUCUCCUCUCCUGCUAAGCUCUGUUUCUUGGCCAUAUUUAAAACCUUCUGCCACUGCCAUAGCUGCUGCUGUUGGAACCUACACAGCCACCUUGGUUUUGUGGUUUGGCAAAGUAUUGGCUUCUACCACCAUAGGGUCCAGAGCUUCUGUCUCCAAAACUUCCUCCUUUCAUGGGUCCAAAAUUUGAAGACUGAUUGUUGUAACUGCCAAAAUCAUGAUAGCUUCCACCACCUCCAGAGUUGCUUCGCUCAUUACUAAAUCCAUUAUAGCCACCUCACUGCCACCAUAUCCACCACCACCUCAACUGUCACCAAACCCACCUCGUCUACUGAAGUUUCCUUCACAACCAAAGUUGUCAUUCGCACCUAAACCACCUCUAUGACCAUCACCAAAGUUUCCAGAGCCGUUUCAACCUCUUUAGCUGGAUGAAUCUAUUGCUUAGAUAGAUCUUUCCUUACUUCACAGUUGUAGCCAUUCACAGUAUGGUAUUUGGGGGGUUGGUGUGUUGGUUUGUUUGUUUUUUAAGCUUAUUUAUUUCGACGGGGGUGAGGCUCAGACACACAGAGAGAGAGAGAGAGAGAGAGAGAGAGAGAGAGAGAAUCCCAAGCUGGCUCCAUGCCAUCAGCCCAGAGCCCCACACGGGGUUCAAACCCAUGAACCAUGAGAUCAUGACCUGAGCUGAAAUCAGGAGUUAGAGGCUUAACCAACUGAGCUACCCAAGUGCCCCAACAGUAUGGUAUUUUUGAAUGACAAUUUGUCUACAGAGUCAUGGUUAUCAAAUGUUACAAAAGCAAAACCUCUCUUUUUGCCACUACCUCUAUCAAUCAUGAUUUCAAUCACUUCAAUUUUCCCAUACUGUUCAAAAUGAUCUCUUAGGUGACAUUCUUCAGUGUCUUCUUUAAUUCCACCAACACAAAUCUUUGUCACAGUUAAGUGGGCCCCAAGUCUUUGAGAAUCUUCUCUUCAAACAGACCUCUUUGGUUCCACAACUCCUCCAUCUGCUUUGUGGCUGUGCAUUCAUGGCUGCAUCCAACCCCCUCCACAGUGGUGUACACAACAAACCCAAAGCCUCUGGAGCGGUUGGUUUUUGGACCUCUCAUCACCACACAGUCCAUGAGUGGUCCCUAUUGCUCAAAAUGGCUUCUCAGACUCUCGUCGGUUGUUUCAAAGCUCAAACCUCCGGUGAAGAGUUUCAGUAGCUGUUCAGACUCUUUGAGAGACUCUGACUUAGACAUGACGGCACUGGGUGGAGGGACUUUAGUGAUGCUUACGUAGUAGUGUCCACGGGCAGAAAG